rnacentral:misc_RNA from 1 species
GAUGAAGAACGUAGCGAAAUGCGAUACGUAGUGUGAAUUGCAGAAUCCAGUGAAUCAUCGAAUCUUUGAACGCACAUUGCGCCCGUCAGUAUUCUGACGGGCAUGCCUGUCCGAGCGUCAUUUCAACCCUCAAGCACUGCUUGGCGUUGGCGGAUUGCGUGCCCUCGCGGCGCUGCAACCGCCCAAAUACAGUGGCGGUCCCGCUGCGGCUCCCUUUGCGUAGUAACUCACCUCGCACUGGACCGGGCGGCGGCCUGCCGUAAAACCCCAACUCACGAAAUGUUGACCUCGGAUCAGGUAGGAAUACCCGCUGAACUUAAGCAUAUCAAUAAGCGGAGGA